rnacentral:rRNA from 1 species
UGUAAGUAUAACUGCCAGACAGGGAAACUGCGUACGGCUCAUUACACCAGCCUUAAUUUACUUGACCUUGACAACCUACUUGGAUAACUGUGGUAAUUCUAGAGCUAAUACAUGCACCAAAGCUCCGAUCCUCGCGGAGAGGAGCGCAUUUGUUCGCCACAAAACCAAGCGCCCAUCUGGGCGUCCAGUGCUGAACCAGAACAACUCAGCUGAUCGCACGGUCUUGUACCGGCGACGUGUCUUUCAAGUGUCUGCCUUAUCAACUUUCGAUGGUAGUGUACCUGACUACCAUGGUUGUGACGGGUAACGGAGGAUAAGGGUUCGACUCCGGAGAAGGGGCCUGAGAAAUGGCCACUACGUCUAAGGAUGGCAGCAGGCGCGCAAAUUACCCACUCUCAACGCGAGGAGGUAGUGACGAGAAAUAACGAGACCGUUCUCAUACGAGGCCGGUUAUUGGAAUGGGUACAAUUUAAAC